GGUUAAGCGACUAAGCGUACACGGUGGAUGCCCUGGCAGUCAGAGGCGAUGAAGGACGUGCUAAUCUGCGAUAAGCGUCGGUGAGGUGAUAUGAACCGUUAUAACCGGCGAUUUCCGAAUGGGGAAACCCAGUGUGUUUCGACACACUAUCAUUAACUGAAUCCAUAGGUUAAUGAGGCGAACCGGGGGAACUGAAACAUCUAAGUACCCCGAGGAAAAGAAAUCAACCGAGAUUCCCCCAGUAGCGGCGAGCGAACGGGGAGGAGCCCAGAGCCUGAAUCAGUGUGUGUGUUAGUGGAAGCGUCUGGAAAGGCGCGCGAUACAGGGUGACAGCCCCGUACACAAAAAUGCACAUAUUGUGAGCUCGAUGAGUAGGGCGGGACACGUGGUAUCCUGUCUGAAUAUGGGGGGACCAUCCUCCAAGGCUAAAUACUCCUGACUGACCGAUAGUGAACCAGUACCGUGAGGGAAAGGCGAAAAGAACCCCGGCGAGGGGAGUGAAAAAGAACCUGAAACCGUGUACGUACAAGCAGUGGGAGCCUCUUAAUGGGGUGACUGCGUACCUUUUGUAUAAUGGGUCAGCGACUUAUAUUCUGUAGCAAGGUUAACCGAAUAGGGGAGCCGAAGGGAAACCGAGUCUUAACUGGGCGUUAAGUUGCAGGGUAUAGACCCGAAACCCGGUGAUCUAGCCAUGGGCAGGUUGAAGGUUGGGUAACACUAACUGGAGGACCGAACCGACUAAUGUUGAAAAAUUAGCGGAUGACUUGUGGCUGGGGGUGAAAGGCCAAUCAAACCGGGAGAUAGCUGGUUCUCCCCGAAAGCUAUUUAGGUAGCGCCUCGUGAAUUCAUCUCCGGGGGUAGAGCACUGUUUCGGCAAGGGGGUCAUCCCGACUUACCAACCCGAUGCAAACUGCGAAUACCGGAGAAUGUUAUCACGGGAGACACACGGCGGGUGCUAACGUCCGUCGUGAAGAGGGAAACAACCCAGACCGCCAGCUAAGGUCCCAAAGUCAUGGUUAAGUGGGAAACGAUGUGGGAAGGCCCAGACAGCCAGGAUGUUGGCUUAGAAGCAGCCAUCAUUUAAAGAAAGCGUAAUAGCUCACUGGUCGAGUCGGCCUGCGCGGAAGAUGUAACGGGGCUAAACCAUGCACCGAAGCUGCGGCAGCGACACUGUGUGUUGUUGGGUAGGGGAGCGUUCUGUAAGCCUGUGAAGGUGGCCUGUGAGGGUUGCUGGAGGUAUCAGAAGUGCGAAUGCUGACAUAAGUAACGAUAAAGCGGGUGAAAAGCCCGCUCGCCGGAAGACCAAGGGUUCCUGUCCAACGUUAAUCGGGGCAGGGUGAGUCGACCCCUAAGGCGAGGCCGAAAGGCGUAGUCGAUGGGAAACAGGUUAAUAUUCCUGUACUUGGUGUUACUGCGAAGGGGGGACGGAGAAGGCUAUGUUGGCCGGGCGACGGUUGUCCCGGUUUAAGCGUGUAGGCUGGUUUUCCAGGCAAAUCCGGAAAACCAAGGCUGAGGCGUGAUGACGAGGCACUACGGUGCUGAAGCGACAAAUGCCCUGCUUCCAGGAAAAGCCUCUAAGCAUCAGGUAACAUCAAAUCGUACCCCAAACCGACACAGGUGGUCAGGUAGAGAAUACCAAGGCGCUUGAGAGAACUCGGGUGAAGGAACUAGGCAAAAUGGUGCCGUAACUUCGGGAGAAGGCACGCUGAUAUGUAGGUGAAGCGACUUGCUCGUGGAGCUGAAAUCAGUCGAAGAUACCAGCUGGCUGCAACUGUUUAUUAAAAACACAGCACUGUGCAAACACGAAAGUGGACGUAUACGGUGUGACGCCUGCCCGGUGCCGGAAGGUUAAUUGAUGGGGUUAGCGGUAACGCGAAGCUCUUGAUCGAAGCCCCGGUAAACGGCGGCCGUAACUAUAACGGUCCUAAGGUAGCGAAAUUCCUUGUCGGGUAAGUUCCGACCUGCACGAAUGGCGUAAUGAUGGCCAGGCUGUCUCCACCCGAGACUCAGUGAAAUUGAACUCGCUGUGAAGAUGCAGUGUACCCGCGGCAAGACGGAAAGACCCCGUGAACCUUUACUAUAGCUUGACACUGAACAUUGAGCCUUGAUGUGUAGGAUAGGUGGGAGGCUUUGAAGUGUGGACGCCAGUCUGCAUGGAGCCGACCUUGAAAUACCACCCUUUAAUGUUUGAUGUUCUAACGUUGGCCCGUAAUCCGGGUUGCGGACAGUGUCUGGUGGGUAGUUUGACUGGGGCGGUCUCCUCCUAAAGAGUAACGGAGGAGCACGAAGGUUGGCUAAUCCUGGUCGGACAUCAGGAGGUUAGUGCAAUGGCAUAAGCCAGCUUGACUGCGAGCGUGACGGCGCGAGCAGGUGCGAAAGCAGGUCAUAGUGAUCCGGUGGUUCUGAAUGGAAGGGCCAUCGCUCAACGGAUAAAAGGUACUCCGGGGAUAACAGGCUGAUACCGCCCAAGAGUUCAUAUCGACGGCGGUGUUUGGCACCUCGAUGUCGGCUCAUCACAUCCUGGGGCUGAAGUAGGUCCCAAGGGUAUGGCUGUUCGCCAUUUAAAGUGGUACGCGAGCUGGGUUUAGAACGUCGUGAGACAGUUCGGUCCCUAUCUGCCGUGGGCGCUGGAGAACUGAGGGGGGCUGCUCCUAGUACGAGAGGACCGGAGUGGACGCAUCACUGGUGUUCGGGUUGUCAUGCCAAUGGCACUGCCCGGUAGCUAAAUGCGGAAGAGAUAAGUGCUGAAAGCAUCUAAGCACGAAACUUGCCCCGAGAUGAGUUCUCCCUGAGACUUAGAGUCUCCUGAAGGAACGUUGAAGACGACGACGUUGAUAGGCCGGGUGUGUAAGCGCAGCGAUGCGUUGAGCUAACCGGUACUAAUGAACCGUGAGGCUUAACCUU
rnacentral:rRNA from 1 species